rnacentral:antisense_RNA from 1 species
CGUAGUCCAGCGACCUGAGGGCAAACAGGUGGCCGUUGUCUGCGUUGAUGGAGACAAGGGAGGCGAGGGGCAGCCACAGAAUAGCGUCUUGACUCGGACCCAGCCAGAGACCCUCCCAGAAAAACAAAGAGAAGCAAGACUUGCCUUUGUCUAAGAAAUCGCUCUCCUCCCGCCUCCAUUGCACUUUCCGUCACGCUCUUCCAGGGAAUGUCGCCAAGCUGAACCCCAGACAGCGCUGGGAAACAGUCUUUUGCCCCACAACCUUUGCAGACGGCCUAGUGAAUAAGCCUUUCCAGAGGCUCAGACUUGCUGGCUCAAAAAUCUGCCUGGGCUCUCAACUCCUGGUUUACCACACUGGAUCCGUGCGUCACCGAGCAUGCACAAUGCCUGUGGUUUAAUUCGCCUUCUUAGUCAACAGCGCCACCAUGCGUUCGCUUGCAGUUUCAAAAUCUUGGAGAAGGUGUUUUUAUUUUGCUUUAUCGAUUAUUCUUAUCAACCCUAGUUGACGCUACUGGAGGAGUUUCUCAUGUUACAUGAAUUAAAUAAAUGCAAUCUAGGGAAAUAAAAUGCGCUUUUAUCUAAGAGCA